AGUGAACGCUGGCGGUAGGCCUAACACAUGCAAGUCGAACGGCAGCACAGUAAGAGCUUGCUCUUACGGGUGGCGAGUGGCGGACGGGUGAGGAAUACAUCGGAAUCUACUUUUUCGUGGGGGAUAACGUAGGGAAACUUACGCUAAUACCGCAUACGACCUACGGGUGAAAGCAGGGGAUCUUCGGACCUUGCGCGAUUGAAUGAGCCGAUGUCGGAUUAGCUAGUUGGCGGGGUAAAGGCCCACCAAGGCGACGAUCCGUAGCUGGUCUGAGAGGAUGAUCAGCCACACUGGGACGGAGACACGGUCCGGAGUCCUACGGGAGGCAGCAGUGGGGAAUAUUGGACAAUGGGCGCAAGCCUGAUCCAGCCGUACCGCGUGGGUGAAGAAGGCCUUCGGGUUGUAAAGCCCUUUUGUUGGGAAAGAAAAGCAGCAGGUUAAUACCCCGCUGUUCUGACGGUACCCAAAGAAUAAGCACCGGCUAACUUCGUG
rnacentral:rRNA from 1 species